CCCUUAGAUGUUCUGGGCUGCACGCGCGCUACACUGAUACUUUCAGCGAGUCCACCACCUUGCCUGGGAGGGUGGGGUAACCUCUGGAAAGUGCAUCGUGAUGGGGAUCGAUUAUUGUAAUUAUUAAUCUUCAACGAGGAAUUCCUAGUAAGCAUGUGUCAUCAGCCCGUGCUGAUUACGUCCCUGCCCUUUGUACACACCGCCCGUCGCUCCUACCGAUUGGGUGUGCUGAUGAAAUGUUCGGAUCGGCCGUUUGUCGCGGUUUCCGCGUCAUGUGGCUGAGAAGUUCAUUAAACCCUCCCACCUAGAGGAAGGAGAAGUCGUAACA
rnacentral:rRNA from 1 species